GUGAAGUUGGGGUUAGUAUUUUGCAUGUUUUGUUCGAUAAUUUGUUUACAGUUUAGUGCAAACUAUGGUCACGAUCGGUGUUAUUGUUGGUUGUUAAAAUAUUGUGAGUGCUCUAUACGCAAAUGAAUAUUCAAGAUGUUAUAUUCUAAAAGAUAUUAGUGGAUGCAGAUAAGAGUGUUUAGUGAGUGCUAUGUUUGAAUAUUGCAAGUGAAAACACAGCCUAUCGAUGUAAUGCGCCGAUAAAUUAUCAUGACUCCAUUGAUGUAAUGCGCUUAAAAACUGCAAUGGCUCCGAAUACAUGAUUACCAGAUAACAAAUCCUGGCGCAGCUUACGUGUGUUCUUCAAUAACGUCGCAAGCUACAGUGGCUGUUGAUAAUUUUUGCAAGUUCUACACCUACAGGAUUCAGUUAUCUGGGCAUUAUAGAUACCCUAUAAUCACCUACGAAGUUAUUUAGGUAUAUUUAUUAAAACCAUUAUACAAGGUGUGGCAAAAAGGGUAUACUAAGCUGAAAGCUACAUGUGCAGCAUGGUAUAUCUAAGCCCGAAACUGAAAACAGAAUUUAAAUAUU